GGACCGAACCGACUAAUGUUGAAAAAUUAGCGGAUGACCUGUGGCUGGGGGUGAAAGGCCAAUCAAACCGGGAGAUAGCUGGUUCUCCCCGAAAGCUAUUUAGGUAGCGCCUCGUGAAUUCAUCUCCGGGGGUAGAGCACUGUUUCGGCUAGGGGGCCAUCCCGGCUUACCAACCCGAUGCAAACUGCGAAUACCGGAGAAUGUUAUCACGGGAGACACACGGCGGGUGCUAACGUCCGUCGUGAAGAGGGAAACAACCCAGACCGC
rnacentral:rRNA from 1 species